rnacentral:ncRNA from 1 species
UAAGGAAGGAGCCUCUGGCAUGCUAACUAGUUAAGUGACCCCGGAGUGGUCAGCAUCCCCCAACUUCUUAGAGGGACAAGUGGCAUUCAGCCACCUGAGAUUGAGCAAUAACAGGUCUGUGAUGCCCUUAGAUGUCUGAGGCUGCAUGCACACUACACUGACUGGCUCAGCCUGUGCCUACUCUAUGCCAGCCUGAGCGAGUAACCCAUUGAACCCCAUUCAUGAGGAGAUCGGGGAUUGCAAUUAUUCCCCAUGAAUGAGGAAUUCCCAGUAAGUGCGGGUCAUAAGCUUGCAUUGAUUAAGUCCCUGCCCUUUGUACACACUGCCUGUCACUACUACCAUUUGGGUGGUUUAAUGAGGCCCUCAGAUUGGCCCUGCAGGGGUCUGCCCAUGGCCCUGGCUGAGUGCUGAGAAGAAGUUGAACUUGACUAUCUACAGGAAGUAAAAGUCACAAGGUUUCCACAGGUGAACCUGCAGAAGGAUCAUUG